UAAAUGCUGGUUCAGUCCUUAACUUCAUGAUGUCUGCUCUUCAUUUUUCUCUAUUGACUCAAGUAAAUACCUUAUACUUACAUGACUUAAUGUUUGUUUUCAUGCUAUGAUGCAGUCUGUUGACAUAACAAGCUACACAGAUGAGGAGUAUGAGAAAUAUUUAGCUAAUCCUGUAGGUAUCAUGUCUAGAUUGCAUGUCUAAAAAUUGUGUUGACCUUCGCUUUUGAGUUUAAUCAAACAACACCUAUUUCAAUUUUUAAUCUACAAGAUGUAUCAUGUUAAGGUUGUUGUUGUUGCCGUGUCUUCAAUGACCUGUAUUGUUAUUAUGUAUAUUGAUAUCGAAAGUCCUUUUUUGUGUAUAUAACCUAAAAUUUGUUUAUUUGCUAUAUUUUAAAUCUUUUAUAUUUUUCUAAUGACUUAGUUGCUAUAAAUACAUGAUAUAUUUUAUGAUCUAUUUCAAAGGAUCUGUAUACCUGAUCCUAACCGUCACUUAGCAUCUGCAUCUUUUGUACACUUAAUUGUACAUCCCAUUUUAUAAAUUUACUUACUCUCAAGCAUAGCUGUGUAAUUCUGUGUUAUUUUAAGAGUUGGAAUUUGAUUCACUUUGACAUUCUACCGUUCUUACAUCUCUCUUCGAUUUGGAAUGUUUAAUGUGUUUCUCUCUUCCAUGAAUUAUAUUUAUGUAGAAUUGGACCAAGGAGGAAACAGAUCAACUGUUUGACUUGUGUGAUAGGUUUAAUCUCAAAUUUAUUGUUAUAGCUGAUAGGUUUCCUUCAUCUCGAACUGUUGAAGAAUUAAAGGAUCGAUAUUAUAGUGGUUGUCGGAGAGUCUAAGUCGGUUGCUGCUUCAAAUUCUAGUGCAGAUGUUACAGAGAGGGCCAGCCCCAAUGAAACUAUAUCUCCAUCAAAUAUGCAAUGUCCAUCGACAGUAUUGCCUUCAAUAAUAACGAGUGAUAGUCUAAGUCGGUUGCUGCUUCAUGAUGAUGAUUUAAUCAGUUUGAGCCUUUUUGUUGUUGAGAAAGUUUUUCAUUCAUUAUAACAGAAAUCAUGAGGGGAGAGAAAGUUGAAGUGUGUGUGAUAUGGUUAGUACCUGUCCCGGUUUUUUUUAUGAAGGUUUCUUGAGAAAAGAAUGAGGUGAAGAUGAAAAUGAAUAUGAGAUGGAAGACUGUUGAAUGGUGCUGAGUUCUUUUUUCGUUAAUAUGAGAGUGUGAAGUUUUCUCUUGGUGUUAUCAUGAAGAUGAAAACGCGUGGAGAGAGAAAGCUACAUGGGAUAGGUUUUUCAAAAGUGAGUGAAAAAGACUAGUCAGCACCACACAUGCCAACGUGGCCAAUAAUAACAUAAACAGUCAGCAUGUGUGGUAAAGAGGUGUGGUGAAUCCAUGAAUUGAGUUUUAUAAGGGGCCUUAUGUAAAAAAAAAAACUUCAGGGGGCCCAAACCAAAACUCGCUAUAAUGGCAGGGGGUGUAGUUUAUUUAACCCUUUCAGUUAAGAGUAAAUGAAGAGGUUGUUACCCUUCUCUUUGUCAAUUUGUUAAUUUUGUUCUUUUUUGUUUGUUUGUAUGUAAUUAUUGUUUGAUGUUAUUUUAGUUGGAUGCCCGAUGAAGUUGGUCUUAAUAAGAGUUUUUGAAGUCUUAGUUUGAGUUGUUAUUUCCUAGUUCAUGUGUGUAAAUAUGCUCUUUAUUAAUGAUGUAUGUUGAUUGGUAUAAAUUUGAAUUUGAGUUGUUAUUUCCUAGUUCAUGUGUGUAAAUAUACUAUUUAUUUGUGAGGUAUUUUGAUUGGUAUUAAUUUGAAAUCCAAAUUCUAAGUUAUGUCAUGAUUCUCCUUAGCUAAAUCAUUCUUUUCACUGUCUCUGAGUUCCAGAACUUGUGUAUAGAUGUUUAUUUGAUCUUGUGCCUCUGUUGAAAUAUCCAAUUUGCUCCUUAGUUGAUAAAUUGUAACCUUCCAAAAUAACCUAUGCAAUCUUACUCAUAGGCCGAAUCAUAAUCUGGUAUGAUAGUGCGGGAUUAACAAUAUUGUUUGUAAGGUUGAUGGGAUUAGUGAGUACUUUGUUAAUAAUUAAUUAGAAGUCUAAAAUU